CCUACGGGAGGCAGCAGUGAGGAAUAUUGGUCAAUGGGCGUAAGCCUGAACCAGCCAAGCCGCGUGAGGGAUGAAGGUUCUAUGGAUCGUAAACCUCUUUUAUAAGGGAAUUAAUUGCGGGACGUGUCCCGUUUUGUAUGUACCUUAUGAAUCAGGCUCGGCUAACUCCGUGCCAGCAGCCGCGGUAAUCCGGAGGAUCCGAGCGUUAUCCGGAUUUAUUGGGUUUAAAGGGUGCGUAGGCGGGCUUUUAAGUCAGCUGUGAAAGUCUGUGGCUCAACCAUAGAAUUGCCGUUGAAACUGGGAGGCUUGAGUAUGUUUGAGGCAGGUGGAAUGCGUGGUGUAGCGGUGAAAUGCGUAGAGAUCACGCAGAACCCCGAUUGCGAAGGCAGCCUGCCAAGCCAUGACUGACGCUGAUGCACGAAAGCGUGGGGAGCAAACAGGAUUAGAUACCCGUGUAGUC
rnacentral:rRNA from 1 species